GGAAGGUUGGCCGAGUGGUCGAUGGCGGCAGUCUUGAAAACUGUUAGGCGGUAACGCCUCAGGGGUUCGAAUCCCUUACCUUCCG
rnacentral:tRNA from 1 species